rnacentral:rRNA from 1 species
GACGAACGCUGGCGGCGUGCCUGAUACAUGCAAGUAGAACGCUGAAGAGAGGAGCUUGCUCUUCUUGGAUGAGUUGCGAACGGGUGAGUAACGCGUAGGUAACCUGCCUUGUAGCGGGGGAUAACUAUUGGAAACGAUAGCUAAUACCGCAUGACAAUGGGUGACACAUGUCAUUUAUUUGAAAGGGGCAAUUGCUCCACUACAAGAUGGACCUGCGUUGUAUUAGCUAGUAGGUGAGGUAACGGCUCACCUAGGCGACGAUACAUAGCCGACCUGAGAGGGUGAUCGGCCACACUGGGACUGAGACACGGCCCAGACUCCUACGGGAGGCAGCAGUAGGGAAUCUUCGGCAAUGGGGGCAACCCUGACCGAGCAACGCCGCGUGAGUGAAGAAGGUUUUCGGAUCGUAAAGCUCUGUUGUAAGUCAAGAACGAGUGUGAGAGUGGAAAGUUCACACUGUGACGGUAGCUUACCAGAAAGGGACGGCUAACUACGUGCCAGCAGCCGCGGUAAUACGUAGGUCCCGAGCGUUGUCCGGAUUUAUUGGGCGUAAAGCGAGCGCAGGCGGUUUGAUAAGUCUGAAGUUAAAGGCUGUGGCUCAACCAUAGUUCGCUUUGGAAACUGUCAAACUUGAGUGCAGAAGGGGAGAGUGGAAUUCCAUGUGUAGCGGUGAAAUGCGUAGAUAUAUGGAGGAACACCGGUGGCGAAAGCGGCUCUCUGGUCUGUAACUGACGCUGAGGCUCGAAAGCGUGGGGAGCGAACAGGAUUAGAUACCCUGGUAGUCCACGCCGUAAACGAUGAGUGCUAGGUGUUGGAUCCUUUCCGGGAUUCAGUGCCGCAGCUAACGCAUUAAGCACUCCGCCUGGGGAGUACGACCGCAAGGUUGAAACUCAAAGGAAUUGACGGGGGCCCGCACAAGCGGUGGAGCAUGUGGUUUAAUUCGAAGCAACGCGAAGAACCUUACCAGGUCUUGACAUCCCGAUGCUAUUUCUAGAGAUAGAAAGUUACUUCGGUACAUCGGUGACAGGUGGUGCAUGGUUGUUGUCAGCUCGUGUCGUGAGAUGUUGGGUUAAGUCCCGCAACGAGCGCAACCCCUAUUGUUAGUUGCCAUCAUUCAGUUGGGCACUCUAGCGAGACUGCCGGUAAUAAACCGGAGGAAGGUGGGGAUGACGUCAAGUCAUCAUGCCCCUUAUGACCUGGGCUACACACGUGCUACAAUGGUUGGUACAACGAGUUGCGAGUCGGUGACGGCAAGCUAAUCUCUUAAAGCCAAUCUCAGUUCGGAUUGUAGGCUGCAACUCGCCUACAUGAAGUCGGAAUCGCUAGUAAUCGCGGAUCAGCACGCCGCGGUGAAUACGUUCCCGGGCCUUGUACACACCGCCCGU